UACGUAUGGUGCAAGCGUUACCCGGAUUUACUGGGUGUAAAGGGAGCGCAGGCGGCACGGCAAGCCUGAUGUGAAAGCCCGCGGCCCAACCGCGGGACUGCAUUGGGAACUACCGGGCUGGAGUGCCGGAGAGGUAGGCGGAAUUCCUAGUGUAGCAGUGAAAUGCGUAGAUAUUAGGAGGAACACCAGUGGCGAAGGCGGCCUACUGGACGGUGACUGACGCUGAGGCUCGAAAGCGUGGGGAGCAAACAGG
rnacentral:rRNA from 1 species